CAGUAGCCACGGGAAUACGGAGGAUCCAAGCGUUAUCCGGAAUCAUUGGGUUUAAAGGGUCCGUAGGCGGUCUUGUAAGUCAGUGGUGAAAGCCCAUCGCUCAACGGUGGAACGGCCAUUGAUACUGCAGGACUUGAAUUAUUGGGAAGUUACUAGAAUAUGUAGUGUAGCGGUGAAAUGCUUAGAGAUUACAUGGAAUACCAAUUGCGAAGGCAGGUUACUACCAAUUGAUUGACGCUGAUGGACGAAAGCGUGGGUAGCGAACAGGAUUAGAUACCCCCGUAGUCCCUGUCUCUUAUAC
rnacentral:rRNA from 1 species